UACGUAGGAGACGAGCGUUGUCCGGAGUUACUGGGCGUAAAGGGCGCGUAGGCGGCGCGAUAAGUUGGGCGUGAAAGGCCCGGGCUCAACCCGGGGACUGCGCUUGAUACUGUCGCGCUGUGAGUCCGGGAGAGGAUGGCGGAAUUCCCAGUGUAGAGGUGAAAUUCGUAGAUAUCGAGAGGAACAUCGGUGGCGAAGGCGGCCUUCUGGACGGUGACUGACGCUGAGACGCGAAAGCGUGGGGAGCAAACAGG
rnacentral:rRNA from 1 species